rnacentral:rRNA from 1 species
CCUACGGGGGGCAGCAGUGGGGAAUAUUGGACAAUGGGGGCAACCCUGAUCCAGCCAUGCCGCGUGUGUGAAGAAGGCCCUCGGGUUGUAAAGCACUUUCAGUGAGGAAGAACGCCUGGUGGUUAAUACCCAUCAGGAAAGACAUCACUCACAGAAGAAGCACCGGCUAACUCCGUGCCAGCAGCCGCGGUAAUACGGAGGGUGCGAGCGUUAAGCGGAAUUACUGGGCGUAAAGCGCGCGUAGGUGGCUUGAUAAGCCGGUCGUGAAAGCCCCGGGCUCAACCUGGGAACGGCAUCCGGAACUGUCAAGCUAGAGUGAAGGAGAGGAAGGUAGAAUUCCCGGUGUAGCGGUGAAAUGCGUAGAGAUCGGGAGGAAUACCAGUGGCGAAGGCGGCCUUCUGGACUGACACUGACACUGAGGUGCGAAAGCGUGGGUAGCAAACAGGAUUAGAUACCCUAGUAGUC